AUGAGGAGACAUGUGCCCAGUGACAAAGUUUAGAGUCAAGAACAGGGGAUGUCUGGCCUCACUUUGGAUAAUCUGGACCUUUUCUGCUGCAAGCAUACCACUAGAUAGAAAAGAGGACCUGUGAAACAUCUUCUCCACAUUUCCCUUCCCUAGUGGGAAGCUUAUUGUUUCAGAGUCAAGAACUUGGUUCCAGGCUACAGUCCCAUGGCUACCAUUCUCUAACUGUUACUUUGCACUUCUAAG
rnacentral:lncRNA from 1 species